GACGAACGCUGGCGGCGUGCUUAACACAUGCAAGUCGAACGGAAAGGCCCUGCUUUUGUGGGGUGCUCGAGUGGCGAACGGGUGAGUAACACGUGAGUAACCUGCCCUUGACUUUGGGAUAACUUCAGGAAACUGGGGCUAAUACCGGAUAGGAGCUCCUGCUGCAUGGUGGGGGUCGGAAAGUUUCGGCGGUUGUGGAUGGACUCGCGGCUUAUCAGCUUGUUGGUGGGGUAGUGGCUUACCAAGGCUUUGACGGGUAGCCGGCCUGAGAGGGUGACCGGCCACAUUGGGACUGAGAUACGGCCCAGACUCCUACGGGAGGCAGCAGUGGGGAAUAUUGCACAAUGGGCGGAAGCCUGAUGCAGCAACGCCGCGUGCGGGAUGACGGCCUUCGGGUUGUAAACCGCUUUCGCCUGUGACGAAGCGUGAGUGACGGUAAUGGGUAAAGAAGCACCGGCUAACUACGUG
rnacentral:rRNA from 1 species